rnacentral:lncRNA from 1 species
UCGAAAGCGCUUCCUGGGCCUACGAGCAAGCCAUGGAAGCUGGUUGCGUUAUGGAGGUGUACACCCACAACGCUUUCAUCGGAGCUCUCUGCAGGUCCGGAAAGUUUCCAUUAGCCAAAAACAUCUUACUGGGAAUGAUCGAGAGCGGAAGCUUACCGAACUUACUGUCUUACAACUUUGUGAUCGAUGGUCUCUGCAAAUCUGGAAACGUCGACGACGCGUGGAAGCUGUCCCGCAAGAUGCUUGACAGCGGUUGCUGCAAGCCCGACGUCAUCUUCUUCAACACGUUGAUAAGCGGCUUCUGCAAGGCAGGGAGGCUAUCACAAGCCCAGCAGUUGCUGAAAGAGAUGAAAGCAAAAAACAUCUGCGUACCCGAUGUGGUGACUUAUAACACAAUGAUCGACGGCCAGUCCAAAUUCGGCAGCCUCAAACAAGCCAAGUUGCUACUCGAGGAGAUGCAAGCCGUGGGCUGCAAGCCAAAUGUUGUGACUUAUGCGGCGUUGAUCAACGGCUAUGCCAAGCAUGGCAUGUAUGAGGAAGCCGAGAGCCUCUUUGACGAGAUGUCUGCCAAAGGCUGCUUCCCAGAUAUCAUCACGUACAACACGGUCCUCAGUGCCUUCAGCAAAGCCGGGAUGAUGUCCAAGGCCGAUGGAGUGUACCAGCAGCUCAAGAACAAAACCAGCUACUGCUCUCCAGAUGCAAUCACGUACAGGAUCCUGAUCGAUGGAUAUUGCAGAGCCGGGGACACUGAGCAAGGCUUGACGUUGCUCCAGGAGAUGACAGCUAGAGGUUGGAGCUGCGACUCCUACACGUAUAAUGUCCUCAUUGCCAAGCUUGCGGAAACCGAGGAAGUCCCUUCCAAAGCUCUUGCAGUCUACCAGCAGAUGCUUAACCAGGACUGUGUUCCCAGUGCCUCCAUUUUCAACUCGCUGGUCAGGCUCUUUCUCAGGACAGGAGAUGUAAACUCUGCGCGUAGCAUGGUCCAGGAGAUGAACGAGAAAGGCCACCUUGUCGAUGCUAGCAACCUGGAAGCCCUGAACAAGGAGAGUAACGACGCUUCUUAGGCUCUUAAGAACUCGCACUCUUUCCUGUAAUCCAGCUCCACGACUAAGUUGCUGUCG